GAGAAGGGAGAGGAGAAGGCAAUGGGGAGGGCUGCUGUUUCUCACCAGGAGUCUGCUCUGUGCAGGGAAAGUUUUCCUCCAGUGAGGAUCUGACAGACUUGGGCACUCUGUUCUGCUGAUGAAGACAAAUCCCUCAGACGCUCAGCUGCGUUAACGUGAUGUCUGAGUGUUGGUAUAGGAACACAGUGAUGAAUUGCUGCUGUUUGACACACGUGUGGGCAGCUGAUCAGUACAGAGUUUGAGGCACCACUGCCUCUCUAUUUCCCUGCAGUGUGUUGUUCCUGCCCUGAUUCCUGGCCUCAUGUUUUCAGGGUGGGAAGGGUCCAGGCUGGAGGAGGUGGCUCAGGCUCUGCAUCUACUGGUCAUGCACCAGCUUCCUUCAAGUACUGGGAGAUGCUGAAGAGCACCUGUGGCAGCGAUUGGCAGCAGCUCAUUCCUCACUUGGAUAACGGAAGGCACCCGGGUGAUUUCCCGGCUUUCCUCUGGGAUGAGAAGCCCCAGAUGAAGAAGUCCACAUGUGCAGUAACACCGGCGUUGCUCCCAAUACCAGGAACACCAUUAACAUCUCAGUGCCCUCCAUGUGUGCAGCAGCCCCAUGCCGUAUCACACCGUGUGGCACUCCCAUCUGACUGCUGGAGCGUGGCUGCCUGCUGACAAAGCCCAAUGCGAGGGAUCGGGAGGUUAAUCAGGCACAGUGAUUUUCCUGUAGGAAACUGCCAAUUGCUUUAAAAUUAAUGGCUUGGAAGAGUUUCUAGUAGAUUUAAAUUGAAAAAGAAAAAAACCCUGAGAAAUGCCGGGUUUCCUCCAUAGAGCAGUCACAGCGUAGCUU
ensembl:lncRNA